GGAUAAGAGCAGGAAACUGUAAGGACAGAAUAGGGAGUAGUAAGGGCUGAAAGAGUAAAAGCCCAGAGCUGUUAAGAUCAGGGUCCCUGGACUGGAACCUGGUGUAGAGGGCAGCUCUGGGUUCCUCUAUCAGCCACUGUGGGAGUGAUACACUAAGGACAGCUAGAAGCAGACUUUGAGGAUACCCUGGAAGUGGGGAGAACUUUAAUGGAACUUGGCCAGAGGACUAAGCUGUGAAGAAGCAAGUGGUGCAGAUCCCAGAAUAAGCCAGGGGAAUGAUGGGCUGAGUAACUGCAGAAGAGGGCAUCAGAAUAAGAGGGCACCAGUGGGUUGCAGAGCUAGCUCCCCAGAUGUGCCACAAGGAGGUACUGCUGAUUGGUGAUGCCUUCAUUUCAUCAAAAUCUGUCACCCCAUGAAAAGUGGGUUUGUCUUUGAGGAAGGGAUGGGCUGAAUUUACCAGUAAAAGGAGAAGAAAGUGGAGGAGAUAGAAACAAGAGGACUGUAACCAUAGCUCUGCAU